GUCGAGGUGGACUCCGGGAGAACAUAAUGUGACAGUAAAUUCAGAUAGUUCUUUGGUUUACAAGCUUCAGCCUGAGAAAAGAAUCUGAAAAGCCUCUUGGCCUCCAGUAAGUCUGUCAUCAUGACUUCUUGACAUCACUCCUCACCAUGAGUGGAGCUGCGCUGGCCGUCGUGGUCGUGGUUGUUUUCUUCCUGGCCCUCUGCCUCCUCCAGCGUUAUGGAGACUUGCGGAAGCAGCAGCGGUUGGUGCUGUUGGGGACGCUGCUGUCCUGGUACCUCUGCUUCCUCAUCGUCUUCAUCCUGCCACUUGAUGUCAGCACGACCAUCUACAAGCAGUGUGUUCUUGACAAGGCCAACCACACUGGUACUGUAACCGGAAUAAGACGCUUAGCUCACACUGGGGCUGACUCAUCUCUUCAUUCCUC